UAUCUCUGUAGAGUCUGCAUAUCAAUAAGCGGAGGAAAAGAAACUAACAAGGAUUCCCUUAGUAACGGCGAGUGAAGCGGGAAGAGCUCAAAUUUGAAAUCUUCAAGGUUUUACCUUGACGAAUUGUAGUUUAAGGAAGUGUUUUCUGUUGAAGUUUUGGUAAAAGUUCUUUGGAAUAGGACAUCAUAGAGGGUGAGAAUCCCGUAUUUGACCAUUUAUUUUCAGCUGUGUGAUACACUUUCAAAGAGUCGGAUUGUUUGGGAAUGCAGUCCAAAAUGGGUGGUAAAUUUCAUCUAAAGCUAAAUAUUGGCGAGAGACCGAUAGCGAACAAGUACCGUGAGGGAAAGAUGAAAAGAACUUUGAAAAGAGAGUUAAACAGUACGUGAAAUUGUCAAAAGGGAAGCGUUUGACACCAGUGUUGUUUUCCUCGAAAAUCAAUUAAAAAAGGCCGGAUUUUGUGUUGUAUUGACCUUAAAAGCUUUCUUCACUCUUUUCUUGUCUUUUUUAAUGCACUUUUCGUUUAACAAGUCAACAUCAGUUUCUUUUGUUGUAAAAGGGUCAUUGGAAGGUGGCUUUCUUUUCGGAGAAAGUGUUUAUAGCCUUUGAUCUCUGCAACCGGAGAGACUGAGGUCUGCAGCGUAGACUCUUCGGGGUUAGGAUACAUUUGUGCUAAGUUAUAGCUUUUUCAUAGACAACUUGUUGACUAUGUUUAGUCUUGUAGCUUACUCGCUUAUGCUAUUUUACCUACGCUUAGGAUGUUGAGUAGCGACAUACGCAC
rnacentral:rRNA from 1 species